GCGACAUUGGUGUAGUGGUUAACACAGUGUGCACAUGUGAUCACCAAAGACGUCCACCUCUCCACGCAGGCCCAGGUUCAAAUCCUGGAUGUUGCA